UCUCGAAAGCGUUAUCCUGACAUUGAAUUGAAGAUUGAAUAGAAAGCUUGAAAUCUGUCUAUUGGCGGCUGCGUCGAAGUUGAGCGAAGAAUGGCGACGGUGGCGGCGGCGCCGUGGUUUAGAGCAAGGUUGAUCCCGGAGUUAAAGAAUCGCCAGUCACUACUGUAUUGUCGCAACGGCCCCCGCAGGUAUCCGCAAAGUCUCUGUUUCCGGAGAAGAAGUUUCUCAAUUUAUGCUUCAGCAGGAGAUGAAGGGGCUGUCCGAGUUCGUUUUGCACCGUCUCCUACCGGUAAUCUCCAUGUGGGAGGCGCUAGAACUGCACUCUUUAACUACUUAUAUGCGCGGUCGAAAGGUGGGAAAUUUGUACUCCGGAUUGAAGACACAGACCUGGAAAGAUCCACAAGGGAGUCCGAGGAGGCCGUGCUUCGUGACCUUUCUUGGCUUGGUCUUGCUUGGGACGAAGGUCCUGGAAUUGGUGGGAACUAUGGCCCAUACAGGCAGUCUGAGAGGAAUGCCCUUUACAAGGAAUUUGCUGAAAAACUUUUACAAUCCGGUCAUGUUUAUCGAUGUUUUUGCUCAAAUGAGGAAUUAGAAAAGAUGAAAGAGAUGGCAAAAUUGAAGCAGUUGCCUCCCGUGUACACUGGGAGGUGGGCCAGUGCUACAGAGCAGGAAGUUCUAGAAGAGCUGGCAAAGGGGACCCCAUACACAUAUCGGUUUCGAGUACCGAAAGAAGGGAGUUUAAAAAUUGAUGACCUCAUUCGUGGUGAAGUCAGUUGGAACUUCGACACUCUUGGAGACUUUGUGAUCAUGAGAAGUAAUGGACAACCCGUUUACAAUUUUUGUGUCACAGUUGAUGAUGCUACUAUGGCUAUCUCCCAUGUCAUAAGAGCGGAGGAACAUUUGCCGAAUACUCUAAGGCAAGCAUUAAUAUACAAGGCACUAGGUUUUCCAAUGCCUCACUUUGCGCAUGUUUCUUUAAUUCUUGCCCCUGAUAGAAGCAAGCUCUCGAAACGGCAUGGUGCAACUUCAGUUGGUCAGUUCAGGGACAUGGGCUAUUUGCCUCAGGCAAUGGUGAAUUAUCUAGCUCUCUUGGGAUGGGGUGAUGGUACAGAAAAUGAGUUUUUCUCCCUUGAGCAGCUUGUUGAAAAGUUCACAAUUGAACGUGUAAACAAAAGUGGUGCCAUAUUUGAUUCGACCAAGUUAAGGUGGAUGAAUGGUCAGCAUUUGAGAUCACUUCCAUCUGAAGAGUUGAACCAAAUCAUUGGUGAAAGGUGGAAGGAUGCAGACAUCGUUACAGAAUCACAAGGAGUUUUUGUACAGGAUGCUGUUCUACUCCUCAAAGAUGGGAUUGACUUGAUACCAGAUUCAGAGAAAGCACUUUCAAGUUUGCUAUCUUAUCCUUUAUAUGAAACUUUGACAAGCACGGAAGGAAAACUGAUCUUAGAAGAUGGAGUCUCUGAAGUUGCUAAGAGCUUGUUAGCGGCCUACGACAGUGGUGAGCUCUGUGGUGCACUUGCAGAAGGCCAACCUGGAUGGAGAAACUGGGUGAAGAAGUUCGGUAAAUUGCUGAAGCGCAAGGGAAAAUCUCUCUUCAUGCCCCUUCGGGUGUUGGUAACAGGAAAGCUUCAUGGACCUGAUAUUGGGGCCACCACAGUAUUACUCUAUAAAGCUGGAACAUCUGGUUCUGUAGCACCCCAAGCUGGGUUUGUUACAUUUGAUGAAAGAUUUAAGAUAUUGAGAGAAGUUCAAUGGGAGUCGUUCGGCUCAAAUGUGCCUUUGUCUGCUGGUGUUGUAACGCAUUGAGAUUGUGGCGAUAUUCUGUUUUGAUUAUCCAUUAUAUGACUUCUAUCUCCACCAUUCCCAGUAGAAACAAAGAGAAGCUGCGAGCACAAGGGGGGUUUUCUUGUGUUUGCAUCUCGUCUGGAAUCAAAGAGGGCUACCAUCUCUAGCGGGAUUCCUUUUCUGUAUCUUCCCCCUCCCCCUCCCCCUCCACGGGGUAAGGCUGUGCUGAUUGUGACACUACGUUUAUUUUUCACCGAACAAUGGUAGAAUAGUUAAAAAGGGGAUUGCAGCUCCAACCCGGGUUUCAUUGCAUAAACAAUGGACUAACAAAGAUAUACCUAAACUAUUACUUUUUAGUUUGAGUUGUGUGUA
rnacentral:misc_RNA from 1 species